GUGCUUGCUUCAGCAGCACAUAUACUAAAAUUGGAACUAUACAGAGAAUUAGCAUGGCCCCUGUGCAAGGACAACAUGCAAAUUCAUGAAGACAAUUACUAUGGU